rnacentral:miRNA from 1 species
CGUUGAUUUGGAGUCGUA